CCUACGGGAGGCAGCAGUAGGGAAUAUUGCUCAAUGGGGGAAACCCUGAAGCAGCAACGCCGCGUGGAGGAUGAAGGUUUUCGGAUUGUAAAGUCCUUUUGUUAGAGAAGAUAAUGACGGUAUCUAACGAAUAAGAACCGGCUAACUACGUACCAGAAGCCGCGGUAAUACGAAGGGUCCAAGCGUUACUCGGAAUAACUGGGCGUAAAGGGCGCGUAGGCGGGAUAGCAAGUCAGAUGUGAAAUCCUAUGGCUUAACCACAGUACUGCCUUUGAAACUGGGAUGCUAGAGUAUGGGAGAGGUAGGUGGAAUUCUAGGUGUAGCGGUAAAAUCCGUAGAUAUCAAGAAGAAGACCCAUGGCGAAGGCGACCUGCUAGAUCAUAACUGACGCUGAUGCGCGAAAGCGUGGGGAGCAAACAGGAUUAGAUACCCUGGUAGUC
rnacentral:rRNA from 1 species